CCCGAACAUAAGGCAUUUGAUAAAACUGUUACGAUACCAACUCCAGAGAGUAUGCCCAACGCUAGCGUUCACUCUAGUAGAGGAGUAAAGGAUUGUCACUGAAAAGUGGGUCUCAGAAACGAUACAAAGACCACAUAGAAGUAUCCCUAACCUCAAGCAAACAAAAGGAGUUUACCAUGGUGGAGGCCAACAUUCCUGGCCUUGUCUCUAUAGGCCUGUUCUAUAUCUUGAUUCUCGCCAUUGGCAUUUGGGCAGGACGGAAGACCAAACAGAGGGGGAAUGAUGCGACGGUGGAAAACAUAAUGCUCGCGUCAAGGAACAUCGGUCCAGUUGUCGGGGUCUUCUCCACUGCAGCUACUGUAGUAGGCGGGGCCUUUCUAAAUGGAACAGCGGAAAUGACGUAUUCACGGGGGUUAGUGUGGUGUCAAGCUACGUACGGAUUCGCACUUAGUUUGCUUGUUGUGGCUUUGUUUUUCGCAAAGAAGAUGCGCAGUGAAGGUUACGUUACAAUGCUGGAUCCAAUCCAAAAGAAAUUCGGCCUCGUGAUGGGAGGUUUCAUCACGAUACCCACAAUUCUUGCUGAUGUGUCUUGGAGCGCGGGAAUUCUGGGAGCAUUAGGAGGAACCUUGUCUGUGUUAAUUGGCCUUGACAGUAAAGUUUCAGUUGUAGUGUCAGCUUGUAUUGCUAUAUUGUACACCUUGUUCGGUGGACUAUAUUCUGUUGCGUAUACAGAUGUACUCCAGUUCUUCUGUGUUUUGAUUGGUUUGUACAUGGCCGUGCCAUUCGCUGCCCAUCAUGAAGCUGUACAAGAGAUAGGGACGACAGCCACAGAUUGGAUUGGGAAAGUAGAGCCAUAUGAAGCUGGGGCUUGGCUGGAUGUCUUCCUUCUUACCAUGCUUGGUGGAGUACCUUGGCAAGUGCUGUUCCAAAGGGUGUUAUCUGCAAGGACUGCCAAAACCGCCCAGUUCUUUAUGAUCGUGGCUUCAUUAUGUGCCUUCGUUCUUGCUACCCCAGCUGUACUAAUAGGGGCUGUGGCAUAUUCCGCGAACUGGACGGACACGAAGUACUUCAGAGAAGGGCGUCCCGUUCCUAUACCAGCUGAUGAUCAAAAGAACGUUCUUCCCCUUGUUUUACAGUAUCUCUGUCCUACUUGGGUCUCCUUCAUAGGACUCGGGGCAGUUAGCGCAGCAGUGAUGUCGUCGGCCGACUCCUCGGUUCUUUCCGCCAGCACAAUGUUCACUCGGAAUAUUUACAAAACGGUUAUUCGAAGAACAGCCUCAGAAAGGGAACAAAUUUGGGCCCUGCGUUGCAGCAUCCUAGUAUGUGGGAUCUUCGCAACAAUCAUUGGAAUCUUCGUUCCAACAGUCUAUGGAUUGUUCGUCGUAUCUGCCGAUUUAGUGUUCGUCAUCGUCCUACCGCAGUUGAUAUGCGCUGUUUACGUUGGAUUUGCGAACACCUACGGUUCGGCUGCAUCGUAUAUUGUCGGGGCGACUCUAAGGAUCCUCGGCGGAGAAUCCAUCAUCAACCUACCGGUGAUAUUGAAAUAUCCCUGGUAUGAUGAAGAAAAGCAACUACAAUUAUUCCCAUUCCGUACGUUUGCAUCCGCAGUGACUCUUAUAACUUUAAUCUCUGUAUCAUACCUCACAAAUGCAAUAUUCACGAGGUGGCACGUCAAUAAGAAAUAUGACAUUUUUCGCUGUUUCUCGAAACCCCCUACAACGGAAGAAAAAACCAAGGCUGUUGGUCUUGAAUUCAGUCCUCUUGACACUAAAGACAAUAUGAAUCACGUUGAGGGCAAUGGCAUCGCUAAGUCAGGCAGCGAGCAUAGCAAUGCCGCAAUGACUGACGACGACAAUGGCGUAAUUGAUGCCAACAGGUUAUAAAGAGGGCGCUGGUGGUUUAAAUAUUGUAUCAAUGUAAUCAAGCAACAUGAUCAGGGAUUUCUAAAAUCAUUUUUAGAAACAAUUGAUUGUUAUCAGAUAAUCAUGUCAUAUUGUAGGAGCUUAUCAAUUGCGUAUUAGUUGAAUGUUUCAAGAAAUAUACCUUAUGCAAUGAUAUUUUAAAUGCAAUCAUGGAAUUGGACACGCAUUGGAAUUUAUUACGUGAGGUGGACGAACGAGUAAUGGACUAAUCGCAAAUUAAAAUACAGGUGUAUUAUAUAUAAUAUAGUCUAUAAAAGUGUGUAGUUAGUAAAAUGAAAUAUACACGAUAUCUUUAUGUAAAUAAAACGGUAGAUAAUCGUGUACUAUAGUUAUAGGGUAGCUAGUUUUGGAAUAUACAAUGUAUGUCGACUCACCGAGCGGAAAUAUAAUUGAAUUUCGUAAAUCGCAUAAAU
rnacentral:misc_RNA from 1 species